CCAGGGAAUUUAUUCAGAAGUAUGAUUCAUUUUCAGGUGCACCCAAAAUGUUUUGAGCGACAAAUCCUUCCAGUCUCUCGCAGUGGGGUACCUGAAAGAGCCAAAUGCACGCAGUUUGGAAAGAGGAAAGCUUAAGAGAUGCACAGCUGCUCUGUAAAUUCCUUCCAGAAAUGAAUAUAUCAUCCUACAGUUUCUCUGUGAAUUACCUCUCUGCAUCUUGUUAAAAAUACGAGGUGUACACAAAGGGAAUAACGUGAUGUGCGCUCUAAUGCACAACUGCUGUCCUUUUUUUAUGAGAAAAUUCCUCCCAUUCCUUCUUGUAAUCUAUUUCUCAGCUGGGUCACUUUCAACUCGGCUCAGAGCUUUGCAAUCGAGUUCAGUGGGAGAGAAGUAUUUGCAAGUUAUAAGGAUUAGUUACUUUGAACUCUGAGUACCAGUAUUCCUGCAGCAUAGAAGAUAAAAAAGAAUUUGUGUGAAUUGGAGAAUAACAAAGCAUCUUUACUCUUCUUUGUACCUUCCCAUGAUAAAAAAAAUAGAGCUGAAAUGAAGAGUAUGACAGAAUUCCCCUUAAAUUCAGUAGUGUCUGUUAUUGAAUUUUUCAUUAACAUUUAUCAUUUUCCCCCCUCAGCAAUUUAACAAUGGCAAAAUAGUCUGUGUAAUUAAUUGCACAUACAAAAUAUGUAUAUAGAGCACUCGGUAGAAAAAGCUCUUGCAUAACAUAAAAGCCACAUAAUUCAUUUCUCUAAUGCAGUCAGGUAUGGACAGCAUAUGUGCAUAUAUACAUACAUACAGACACGCCUUGUGGGUAUCCAAAGCUACAAGAUGUCCUGGGGAGGGGAAAGAGCCUAAAGCUAUAAAUUCAACAACUCAUGUGUUGAUGCAUUAGUACUUAUUUCCAUGACAUGUGUAUGUAUUCUCAAAAGUUCAAUAUUUUUAUUAAUGAUAAAAUAUGCGUUCUUAUUUCCGCCA